ACAGAUACAACAGCCAACUCUAACCCACUGAAGCCGACAGCGCGGUGUUUUCUGGGUAACGCGGUUCAAAGGUCAUCGUCAUUGAGCAACGACAGACAGAACCGCGAGACACAACCAGGGAUCAUCUGGCCAGAGCUCAAUGACUAACCAUAGGGGAUCUCAUUAGGACGAUCGGGAAGCUAUGACAUGAUUCUGUUGGAGACAGAAUAUGGCAGUACGUCCAACCUGUCACAAUCUUCACCUGCGGGA